UCUAAGUUCUAUGGCUUUAUGAGCUCAGCCCAACUCUAAAAAUCAAAUGGAAAGUGCUCCAAAUGAUGCUUGAGGCUGAAUGAAGCAACAUGGGUUAACCAACACUGAAUCUCAGGUAUGAGCCGUAAACAUAACCUGCAAGUAGAAAGAAUAUGGAAGUCUUUAAGCUAAUGUGGCUUCUGCUAAUUAAAUAAUAAAAUCAGAACCACUGACUUCAUUCAGGAUUUUGCCAUGCAGUGUUGGAAUGGUCCAUAUUAAUCUUGGCUUGCUCUGCUCAGGCCUUCCCUGUCACUGUCCUUACAUGACCUUAAAAGCUGGUACAAAAGAGAUGACCUGCUGCCCCCUAUCUCUGCGUCUUUAGGCUCAUGACUGCGAGUUGUUCAAGAAGAGAAUGAAAGAAAACUGAGGACUCUGUAUCACCUGUCCAAUUUUAGCUAUGGGCUUCAUUUUCAUUUGGCGACACACCUGAAUGUUUGAAUAAACGUAUUUUUCUCCUUUGCUUCUCCUGCACAAAGCAUCCAUUACAA